CGGGCGGGCGGCCAAAUCAUGCAAGUCGAGCGAAUCUGAGGGAGCUUGCUCCCAAAGAUUAGCGGCGGACGGGUGAGUAACACGUGGGCAACCUGCCUGUAAGACUGGGAUAACUCCGGGAAACCGGGGCUAAUACCGGAUAAUAUCUAUUUAUACAUAUAAUUAGAUUGAAAGAUGGUUCUGCUAUCACUUACAGAUGGGCCCGCGGCGCAUUAUCUAGUUGGUGAGGUAACGGCUCACCAAGGCGACGAUGCGUAGCCGACCUGAGAGGGUGAUCGGCCACACUGGGACUGAGACACGGCCCAGACUCCUACGGGAGGCAGCAGUAGGGAAUCUUCCGCAAUGGACGAAAGUCUGACGGAGCAACGCCGCGUGAGUGAUGAAGGUUUUCGGAUCGUAAAACUCUGUUGUUAGGGAAGAACAAGUAUCGGAGUAACUGCCGGUACCUUGACGGUACCUAACCAGAAAGCCACGGCUAACUACGUGCCAGCAGCCGCGGUAAUACGUACGUGGCAAGCGUUGUCCGGAAUUAUUGGGCGUAAAGCGCGCGCAGGCGGUUCCUUAAGUCUGAUGUGAAAAGCCCACGGCUCAACCGUGGAGGGUCAUUGGAAACUGGGGAACUUGAGUGCAGAAGAGGAAAGUGGAAUUCCCAGUGUAGCGGUGAAAUGCGUAGAGAUUUGGAGGACACCAGUGGCGAAAGCGACUUUCUGGUCUGUA
rnacentral:rRNA from 1 species